GUCUUUUAGAUAAUUAUUUAAGGUUUGGCCUGCUCCAUGAUUAAAUUAAAUAGCCGCAGUAUUUUGACUGUGCAAAGGUAGCAUAAUCAUUAGUUUUUUAAUUGAAAGCUGGUAUGAAUGGUCGGAUGAGAAAGUUUCUGUCUCAUUAUAAUUUUAUUUUAAUUUUAUUUUUAAGUUAAAAAGCUUAAAUUUAAUAAAAAGACGAGAAGACCCUAUAGAGUUUGAUAAGUUAUAAUUUAGUUAUAGAUGGAUUUUAAAAUGACUAUUUCUUAAUUUAUUUUGUUGGGGUGACAUAAGAAUUGAAUAAACUUCUUUAAAUUAGUACACUAAUUAGUGAAUUAUUGAUCCUGAGUUUUGGAUUUAAAGAAUAAAUUACCUUAGGGAUAACAGCGUAAUUCUUUUGGAGAGUUCUAAUCGAUAAAAGGGAUUGCGACCUCGAUGUUGGAUUAAAAUUAAAUUUUGGUGCAGAAGCUAGAAUUUUGAGUCUGUUCGACUCUUAAAAUUUUACAUGAUCUGAGUUUAAACCGGCGUGAGCCAGGUUGGUUUCUAUCUUUUAUAGUUAAAAUAUUUUAGUACGAAAGGACCAGAUAUUUAAAUAAUAUUUUUAAUUUAGAAUUAAUUUAUUAUUUUGGCAGAUUAGUGCAAUAGAUUUAGAAUCUUUGAAUGUAAUUAUAUUACAAAUAAUAAUUUAUUUUUUUGAUUUGUAUUUAUUAUUUAUUUCUAUAUUAAUUUUGAUUGUAUGUGUAUUAGUGGGAGUUGCUUUUUUAACUUUAUUGGAACGUAAAGUUUU
rnacentral:rRNA from 1 species